UUAAAAUCCUGCUUAAAUUGCCCAAUUUUCCCCCGCCAAAACUGUACUUCCUGUGGAUCAUGCCAUCUCUUUAACUCCCCUCCCUCCAAGCAAUAGCCUUUCCUCAGCCCUUCCAGGCUAUUUAUUCUGCUCUCAUCCUUACACUUCCACUUCCAAAUCUUAUCUAGGAGAAUAGCAUGCCUCCUGAGCAACGUAAAAACUAACAAUAAGUAAGCCCAAACCCAUGGCAUCCUGUGGGUACUCAAGCACAGUUCUAGAACUACUGUAGUUCACACAGCCAUCCCUGCCCUGCAGAGCCCUGCUUGAUAACCUUGUGAUGUCUCAUCUUUUGCCACUGGAUACUUUGGCCCUUGCUCACAAUGCCCACCUCUUUCUCACUUCAGUACUUUUAUACAUAUCGUUCCCUUUAAGAAAAUAUUCUUUUCCAUAUUCUUUGUACUACCAGUAUAUUAAAUUCUGUUCUGUUAUAGCUUUAUUCUAAGGUACGUGAGAGCAGGGACUACGUCUGUUGUGUUUGCAAGUACCUCUCCAAUGCCUAACAUAGCGUCUAGCACAUGGGUGCCAUUUAAAGAAAUGUACUGAAUGAAUGAAUGAAUAAGAGAGGGAAUGAAGGAAACAAGUGAAUGAAACAUAAAAGUGGAACACAUCAGGUAGUUUUGUUUUAAACUGCUGAAAAAUCAAAUCUUGGAUGCACGCCCAAAGUUCGAAUACUUUUACCUAUGCUCCAACCACUUAGUGGUAGAAUAAGAUACUUACAUGGAUGGCAGUUCCAAACAAAUCAAGACCAUAUACAUUCAAGAGGGAUGGAAGAAUAGAUCUGAGGUCUCAAAUGGCUCUACUUGAAAAUUCAAGUUUUAUGUAAAUGGUAAGUUUUAGAAAUGUACUU
rnacentral:lncRNA from 10 species